rnacentral:rRNA from 1 species
AAUAGAUACCCGGGUAGUCCACGCCGUAAACGAUGAGUGCUAAGUGUUGGGGGGUUUCCGCCCCUCAGUGCUGCAGCUAACGCAUUAAGCACUCCGCCUGGGGAGUACGGUCGCAAGACUGAAACUCAAAGGAAUUGACGGGGGCCCGCACAAGCGGUGGAGCAUGUGGUUUAAUUCGAAGCAACGCGAAGAACCUUACCAGGUCUUGACAUCCCGGUGACCACUAUGGAGACAUAGUUUCCCCUUCGGGGGCAACGGUGACAGGUGGUGCAUGGUUGUCGUCAGCUCGUGUCGUGAGAUGUUGGGUUAAGUCCCGCAACGAGCGCAACCCUUAUUCUUAGUUGCCAUCAUUUAGUUGGGCACUCUAAGGAGACUGCCGGUGAUAAACCGGAGGAAGGUGGGGAUGACGUCAAAUCAUCAUGCCCCUUAUGACCUGGGCUACACACGUGCUACAAUGGACGGUACAAACGGUUGCCAACCCGCGAGGGGAGCUAAUCCGAUAAAACCGUUCUCAGUUCGGAUUGUAGGCUGCAACUCGCCUACA